rnacentral:rRNA from 1 species
AUUGAACGCUGGCGGCAUGCUUUACACAUGCAAGUCGAACGGCAGCGGGGGCUUCGGCCUGCCGGCGAGUGGCGAACGGGUGAGUAAUACAUCGGAACGUGUCCUUAAGUGGGGAAUAACGCAUCGAAAGAUGUGCUAAUACCGCAUAUCUCUCAGGAGGAAAGCAGGGGAUCGAAAGACCUUGCGCUAAAGGAGCGGCUGAUGUCUGAUUAGCUAGUUGGUGGGGUAAAGGCUUACCAAGGCAACGAUCAGUAGCUGGUCUGAGAGGACGACCAGCCACACUGGGACUGAGACACGGCCCAGACUCCUACGGGAGGCAGCAGUGGGGAAUUUUGGACAAUGGGCGAAAGCCUGAUCCAGCCAUGCCGCGUGAGUGAAGAAGGCCUUCGGGUUGUAAAGCUCUUUUAGUCGGAAAGAAAGAGUCAUAGUAAAUAGCUAUGAUUUAUGACGGUA